UACGGAGGGGGCUAGCGUUGUUCGGAAUUACUGGGCGUAAAGCGCACGUAGGCGGCUUUGCAAGUCAGAGGUGAAAGCCCGGGGCUCAACCCCGGAAUUGCCUUUGAGACUGCAUCGCUAGAAUUGUGGAGAGGUAAGUGGAAUUCCGAGUGUAGAGGUGAAAUUCGUAGAUAUUCGGAAAGAACACCAGUGGCGAAGGCGACUUACUGGACA
rnacentral:rRNA from 1 species